GGCCCUUCGGGGUACACGAGCGGCGGACGGCUGAGUAACACGUAGGAACGUACCCCAAAGUGAGGGAUAAGCACCAGAAAUGGUGUCUAAUACCGCAUGUGCUCUAAGGAGUAAAGCUCCGGCGCUUUGGGAACGGCCUGCGCAUGAUUAGCUAGAUGGUGAGGUAAUGGCUCACCAUGGCGACGAUCAUUAGCUGGUCUGAGAGGAUGAUCAGCCAGACUGGGACUGAGACACGGCCCAGACUCCUACGGGAGGCAGCAGUAGGGAAUUUUCCACAAUGGGCGAAAGCCUGAUGGAGCAACGCCGCGUGCAGGAUGAAUGCCUUCGGGUUGUAAACUGCUUUUAUAUGUGACGAAUAUGACGGUAGCAUAUGAAUAAGGAUCGGCUAACUCCGUGCCAGCAGCCGCGGUCAUACGGAGGAUCCAAGCGUUAUCCGGAAUUACUGGGCGUAAAGAGUUGCGUAGGCGGCAUAGUAAGCAGAUAGUGAAAGCGUGUGGCUCAACCAUACUCACAUUAUCUGAACUGCUAAGCUAGAGGACGAGAGAGGUCACUGGAAUUCCUAGUGUAGGAGUGAAAUCCGUACAUAUUAGGAGGAACACCAAUGGCGUAGGCAGGUGACUGGCUCGUUCCUGACGCUCAGGCACGAAAGCGUGGGGAGC
rnacentral:rRNA from 1 species